rnacentral:lncRNA from 1 species
UUCAAUAAUCAAUAUAUCUACUACUUUCCACAAAAAAAUCAAAAUUAUUACCCACAAAGAAAAUAAUUAACAUAAAAAGUCUUUUUACCCUUAAAUGCCCGAUUCUGGAACUGGGUGCAGGACUGGAGGUGGACCGGUGGAAGUGGAUCAGUGGAGGUGGAUCGAUGCUCGGUGGAGGUAGCUUGAUGCCUUGAUUUUGGAAUUGGGAAAAAAAGGGAGGAGGGCACAAUAGGGUUAGAGAUUUGGAAGACUAUCGGGCAGUAAAGCAAAAGUUAAAAUUAGCAACAUUAUUACCCAAAAAAUCAAAAUACAACGCAAAAAAAUUAUGAACAUCAACGAGUAAACAAACAGUUUACCUUAAAUACGAAUUUGUUGGCGAUUCGGGACUAAACAAACCCUUAAAUGCUUGAUUCUGGAACUGGGUGGAGGGCCGGAGGUAGACCGGAGGUGGACCGGUGGAGGUGGAUCGGUGGAGGACGGAGGUAACUUGAUGCCUUGAUUUUAGAUUUGGGAAAAAAAGGGAGGAGGGGAGAUAGGGUUAGGGAAGACUGUCGGCAGUAAAACAAAACUUAAAACUUAAAAUUAGCAAAACUAGCAGAAAAGAUGAGGUAGAGAUGAUAAGGAGCUGUGGAAAUGGUUUCAAGGGUGAAUAGAUGAGCUGUGGAAAAUGUCUUAUCGAUUUCUAAGGGGUAAGACAUUUUUCAGAAAUAUGCGUUGAUUUUACCCGUGUUUUGGAAAAUGAUUUCCUUAGCAAUUCAUUUUCCAACAAUCAAACACCGUAAAAUGUGGAAAACCAAUUCCGAAAAAUAUUUU